rnacentral:rRNA from 1 species
AGUGAACGCUGGCGGUAGGCCUAACACAUGCAAGUCGAACGGCAGCACAGUAAGAGCUUGCUCUUACGGGUGGCGAGUGGCGGACGGGUGAGGAAUACAUCUGAAUCUACUUUUUCGUGGGGGAUAACGUAGGGAAACUUACGCUAAUACCGCAUACGACCUACGGGUGAAAGCAGGGGAUCUUCGGACCUUGCGCGAUUGAAUGAGCCGAUGUCGGAUUAGCUAGUUGGCGGGGUAAAGGCCCACCAAGGCGACGAUCCGUAGCUGGUCUGAGAGGAUGAUCAGACACACUGGAACUGAGACACGGUCCAGACUCCUACGGGAGGCAGCAGUGGGGAAUAUUGGACAAUGGGCGCAAGCCUGAUCCAGCCAUACCGCGUGGGUGAAGAAGGCCUUCGGGUUGUAAAGCCCUUUUGUUGGGAAAGAAAAGCAGCAGGUUAAUACCCCGCUGUUCUGACGGUACCCAAAGAAUAAGCACCGGCUAACUUCGUG